GACGAACGCUGGCGGCGUGCUUAACACAUGCAAGUCGAACGGAAAGGCCCUGCGUUUGUGGGGUGCUCGAGUGGCGAACGGGUGAGUAACACGUGAGUAUACUCCCCUUGACUUUGGGAUAACUUCAGGAAACUGGGGCUAAUACCCGAUAGGAGCUCCUGCUGCAUGUUGGGGGUUGGAAAGUUUCGGCGGUUGGGGAUGGACUGGCGGCUUAUCAGCUUGUUGGUGGGGUAGUGGCUUACCAAGGUUUUGACGGGUAGCCGGCCUGGGAGGGUGACCGGCGACAUUGGGACUAAGAUACGGCGCAGACUCCUACGGGAGGCAGCAGUGGGGAAUAUGGCACAAUGGGGGGAAGCCUGAUGCAGCAACGUCGCGUGCGGGAUGACGGCCUUCGGGGUGUAAACCGCUUUCGCCUGUGACGAAGCGUGAGUGACGGUAAUGGGUAAAGAAGCACCGGCUAACUACGUG
rnacentral:rRNA from 1 species